GAAAAAUUUCAGGGUUCGGAAGGCAAGAAGGAAGAUGAAGAAAAGAAGUAUCUUGAUGUCAUCAGCAACAAAAACAUAAAGCUGUCAGAGAGAGUUCUGAUCCCUGUCAAACAAUAUCCAAAGUUCAAUUUUGUUGGGAAAUUGCUUGGACCAAGAGGAAACUCUUUAAAGAGGUUACAAGAAGAAACAGGUGCAAAAAUGUCCAUCCUGGGAAAAGGAUCCAUGAGGGAUAAAGCUAAGGAGGAAGAACUAAGGAAAAGUGGAGAAGCCAAAUAUGCGCACUUGAGUGAUGAGCUCCACGUAUUAAUUGAAGUGUUUGCUCCACCUGGGGAAGCGUAUUCUCGUAUGAGUCAUGCCUUGGAAGAAAUAAAAAAAUUCCUGGUUCCAGGCAGGUUUUUCACCAGUGGCAGAUGAGAAGAAAUUACUCCACUGCAGGUUAAAAAAUUCAUGCAGAAGAUUUUGAAUCUCACAGUAUUGCUUCUGGUUUCUUAAUUGCUGGUCUGUAAUAUGUAGCAAGAAAUUUGCUUUGGUAUUGCACAUUAGACCGUUCAUCUUAGCAACACCAGCAGACCCUCUUGCACACAUGGCAUUUCAUUUAAAGCUCUGUGUGUGAGUACAAAUUUGGUCAAUCAACUCAACAAUUAAGAUAGUUUACUUGACCCAGUGAAGAGUCUGCAGCUUUCUGGUUUGAAAAUGAACUUCCAUGUGGUUCUGUAUAAAAGUAGAUAUAGAAACUAUAUUUAAAAUAAUUGCUUUUGAUGCAAGAAAUUACUUUGUAAUAAUGAUUAAAAAAAUGUUCAAGAUGUUGUUAAGUGUUCCUAUC